CAAAACUGCAGAACCCUAAACCGAAACUUUUUUGUUCGAUACAGAGGUUAAAAAAACUUUUGCUUAAGGCAUUGAAAGCAUACAAAACCUAAAAAGAAACUGGUGGCGCAACCAUCAUGAUUAACAAGAAGAAACAUGUAAAUUCUCCAUCCAUAGUUUACGAUUCUCUUUUCCACAACCUUCAUCAUCUUUGAAAAGUUCAACAGAAGAUCGAUUGCAAUUGCUCUCGCCGUUCUGAGUAACGAUCUUACUCUCUUUCAACAUUUUUUCUUUUUUGAUUUGAGUUUUAAUUUUCAUAUGAUUAAGAUUUGCAUGAAAGGGUACUAACAAGUGAUUAAGAUUAUUAAACCUAAGUUUGGAUUUUCCUAUGAUUGCUGAAAUAUUGAUUUUAUUCAGAAAUAUUCUCCUUUGUGUCUUCCGGGAACCUUAAUCUUCCCAUGCAGUUGGGUUAUCUUAGGGUUUAUCCGUGAGAAAAAAAAAUCAUCUUUUUUGUUAGCUCCCCUUAUUUCCGAUCUUACAAUUUUUUAGUUCAGUGAGUUAACGAUCAUCCUUGCAGAACUCUUACAUGACCCUGCAAAAAGGUUUGAUUUACCUUAACUUUCUGUGCAUGAAAUCAUGGAUCUUCAUCAUCAAAUACAGAUAUCAGUGUGCAAGAGAUUAGAAAUAAAGAAGAACAACAAGCCUUAAAACCUAUGUCUGCCUUUUCUGCAAGUGAAUCUAUGGUGCGAGUUUUUGUGUUUUAAAGAACAUCUUUUUUCUUUUGUGUCAAGGGAAAUCUUGGAUCAAUCUUUGGAUUGUUAGUCAUAGAAGUUGAAUCACUUUUUAAACCAGAAGAAAGGGCAAUAUUGAAGCAAAAUGAAGCUCCUGAUCUUACUAAAAUAUCAAUUGUUAGUUAGUUAAACCUUUGGCGGACAAUAAACCAAUUCUAGGAUUCUCUCGAGUCUGUCAGACAACCACCAUAGCGGGCCAUGCCGAAGUCAAGCUGAGAACAAUCAAAUCCACUUCUGUAGGGUUUGAGAUGCAAUCAGAUCCACUUGAGCUCUGGGGUUCUUGGUGAAUAUUAUUAGUUGACUUGCCUUAUCCUGGCUACUAUUGCUAACCAUGUUGUCUCGAACUGUUUUGGUUAUUGUGUUUAGCAGAGGUUGCCAGCCAAGACAACUUAAUUAGUGGCCGUAACAUUUGAAAAUGGAGGAGAAAUGUAGUUAGCUUAGUCAAAUUCUUAGUUACAGGCCUUAUUCAGGUGCUGCUAUUUAUUUUUUUUAGCUAAAGGAAUCAUUCUUUAAAGCUUUACACAAUGCUCCAUUAUUUCUGUCAUUUGCUUAUCUCUUUUCAUGCAUUUUCUUCGUUAUUUUCUGUUCCAAAUGCAAUUGCAAUAUACCGUUUUUUAGUGAUUCAAAAUGGUUGAUGACAUGUGGAUAUACUCUUAUUUGUUUUGCUCUCUUUAUGACCUGUGAAUUAUUGUGUCUAUGACAUGUCUCACUUGCUUCUUUUCGAACGAAAGCUGUCAUUGGCUUUCCUUUUGAGUCGCUGGCACACCAAAUCGGGUAUUAAAAAAAGCCUAUUCUUCUUCUAAGGUUGAGCUUCAACAAGAAGGUACGUAAAUCAACAGUGGUGGUACUUAUUUGAUUGGGUCUCUGUCUCAUGGUGGCUGCCAUCGGUUAAGUAAUAACCACUUGCUUAUUCAUAUAAGUAAUUAACCCAUGCGGUUGCAUAUAAAACUGAAAGCCCUAAUCACCUCUCUUUUUUGCGUUAUGGAAUACAAAGUUUCCAGAUAGAUGAACUGUGUUGUAAAGACUGUAAGAUUUAUUAAAUCAAUAUAUCUUCGGGUAUUUUUUGUUCAAUUAAUGUCUUUUACAGGUUUUUUUUUUAGGGUUUUUAGGUUUUUCCAUAAGCAUAACUUAAGCAUUUCCAUUAUGCAGGUGCACACAAUAAUAUUUAUGGAAAUAGCUUCGAAGAUUGCGAAUGAAAUCACAGUAGGUCAGAGAUUUGCUGCCUAUAUGGUUAUUCCGAUGCGACAAGAAGGCGUACCAACAAGUUGUUCUACACAAAAAGUUCUUUUGGGACAGAUUCUGCUGGCAAGCAACGUUUCGAGAGCUAAAUCCAAUUGUCUUUCGAUGGGGUCCAGUAAAGACCAAGUACAGGGGGAAUUUAAUGUCCACACUAUAGUGCCUGACAUUGUUGGUGGUGCUGUUGCUGGAGACAGUGUAGCUCUUCAUUGUAGUUUAUACUCUUAUCUAUGUGAAUACGAGGUCACUUUGAUCUUCCUGCAUAUGAGAAGAAUAUACAAAGACCCAUGGUUGAUUUUUACUUUAUAUGGCAAGGCGGAGAGUUAAUUGAAGAAUUUUGGACUGGGGAUCAAAUGGGGACUCGGGCGAAGCCGAGCUUUACCAAAUCAUAUCGGGACUGGGGCGACGAAGCCGAGCUUUACCAAAUAAAAAAUAUGGCUCAAAGAAAGAGGCUUUGAUGCAUUGUAGUUUGUAGUUGUAGAUUGAAUUGGUGAACCAAGUUUGAGAAGCUGCCCGGCAUAGCACGGGCACAAAAUCUAGUAUAGAUAGUAUUGACGGAGAUAAUUUUCAUACACAUCUAUGUGCAUCUGUGCUACAUAUUUACCGAUAACUAGUAAUGGUGGGAGCUUAACUAGUUGGCACCCGAGAUA